rnacentral:rRNA from 1 species
UACGUAGGGUGCAAGCAUUAUCCGGAGUGACUGGGCGUAAAGAGUUGCGUAGGUGGACAAGUAAGCGAAUAGUGAAAUCUGAUGGCUCAACCAUACAGACUAUUGUUCGAACUGCUCGUCUCGAGAAUGGUAGAGGUAACUGGAAUUUCUAGUGUAGGAGUGAAGUCCGUAGAUAUUAGAAGGAACACCAAUGGCGUAGGCAGGUUACUGGACCAUCUCUGACACUGAGGCACGAAAGCGUGGGGAGCGAACCGG